rnacentral:rRNA from 1 species
GUAAUUUGCAGAGGGCGCUUUGGUGUUGGCAGCGGUCCAAGUUCCUUGGAACAGGACGUCACAGAGGGUGAGAAUCCCGUACGUGGUCGCUAGCCUCCGCCGUGUAAAGCCCCUUCGACGAGUCGAGUUGUUUGGGAAUGCAGCUCUAAAUGGGAGGUAAAUUUCUUCUAAAGCUAAAUACUGGCCAGAGACCGAUAGCGCACAAGUAGAGUGAUCGAAAGAUGAAAAGCACUUUGGAAAGAGAGUCAAAUAGCACGUGAAAUUGUUGAAAGGGAAGCGCUUGCAGCCAGACUUGCCUGUAGUUGCUCAUCCGGGCUUUUGCCCGGUGCACUCUUCUACAGGCAGGCCAGCAUCAGUUUGGGCGGUUGGAUAAAGGUCUCUAUCACGUACCUCUCUUCGGGGAGGCCUUAUAGGGGAGACGUCAUGCAACCAGCCUGGACUGAGGUCCGCGCAUUUGCUAGGAUGCUGGCGUAAUGGCUGUAAGCGGCCCGUCUUGAAACACGGACCAAGGAGUCUAACAUCUAUGCGAGUGUUUGGGUGUCAAGCCCGAGCGCGUAAUGAAAGUGAACGGAGGUGGGAACCCUUUGGGUGCACCAUCGACCGAUCCUGAUGUCUUCGGAAGGAUUUGAGUAAGAGCAUGGCUGUUGGGACCCGAAAGAUGGUGAACUAUGCUUGAAUAGG